AAGGACUCGCAUCUCUGGUUUGGGAAUAACUCGCUCUUUAAUUAAGGGAUCCUUAGUCAAUUUGUCCAUAGUCAUUGGACAUGGGUAACAGCUUGUCUGUUGUCCCAAAAUUUGGUGGGGCGGUCUGUAGCCCAAAGAAAUACGGCCGAAAGUUAUAUGGUUUCAAAGUAUGGACCUGAUGCAAGCAAGUAUUUAGAGAAGUGGCAAGCAAUGACAAAGGCCAAUCCGAAGGUAAGCUGGCCAAGGUGGGGUUCACUUAAUGAGGAAAGGAUGUUGUUUCUGCAGUCUGUUUUAAGUGAAGCAGGUCAAGAAAUUGAGGGAGACGAAAGAGAAGUCUUCAACCAAUGGCUCGAGGAGUACACCCAGAGAAAACACAGGUCAGAACGAUCUGUAGAACAAGAGACGGGUAAGAACAAGAGAAAGGUAAGGGAGGAGGAGGAGAAUCAAGGUGAACAAGGCAGGGAAGCCACUAAAAAGCAAAUAGCUGAUUUACAGAAGGAGGUAGAAAGCCUUAAAGAACUCCUGGAAGGCUCUAGCAACCCAGCAACCUCUUUAGACAGCAUACCUGAGCCCCUAGAAUCGCUGAGGCACCCAUCCCUCAAUUCCCUUUUAAAAAUUAAGGGAAGGGAAGGAACCAAAACAAUGCAGGUAUCUUUUACUCCUUGGACAAAAACAGAGCUCAGAGCCAUGGCCAAGGAAUGUCCUGUAUUUUACCACCCCAAUUCUGAAGUGUGGGUGAAGUGAUUAAAACCUAUUAGUUUAAUUUCAAGACAUUUCUUAAGAGCCAAAAGCCUGGACAAGAUUUUCCUGUAGCCUAUAAUCUGAAGGAUUCUUGAAGAAGACAUCCCUACGAGAAACCUGAAGGAGCCCCAAGAUAUUGGAUCCGGAUAAGUAUUGGGUCUCAUCAUUUUCAUUGACUAGAAAUGUUCUGUAGCAGACAUAAAACUAUUUUUAUUUCCCCUGAAGAUUUUAUUUACCCUGAGCAAAGUCCUUUUAAAUAGAGAACCUAGAAAGGACAGAUCUAUUCCCCAAACUUAGUUGAAGUAGGAAAAGUUUAAAAAGGGAACAUUUUUACCCUUAUAGUGAAGUUUUGAAACUUGAAAGUGACAGCUGAGAAUUUGCAGCAAAGAUUCCAGAGUGCUAGUUUGUCUCAAAGUAGUAUCAGAAGAGGUUAGGAAGAAAUGAUGGAGCCUAGAAAUGAUUGUUAGUAAUAGAAGAUAAAUAUUUUAAAUCUGGACCAUGGUUAUGGUUAAGUAGCUAAAAGGAAUGAAAUCAAUUUCAAAAUCCCUAGCAUCUCAACCUCCCUAAAGGGGGGUGUGUGAGUUGAGUGUAUAAGGUUUUAAUUUUUAGGAAAAAAUUAGAAGCAUUUUAAUAGUGAGAAUUUUUCUGCUUUUAUAUUUCUACAGUUUGUAGGAUUUUUAUAUUUUGGUAAAGUAAGGCAAUCUUUCUAAUUAAGCAUGUAAAUUACAUGAUUUUAUGAUUUGUGUGGAAAAGAUAUUAUUAAAAAUUAAUAAAAUGGAAUUACAGAUUUGAGGUUAGCA
rnacentral:lncRNA from 1 species